UACGUUGUUAAUCUAAUCAUG
ensembl:piRNA 21ur-5378 ncRNA